rnacentral:rRNA from 1 species
AUCAGUAGCUGGUCUGAGAGGAUGAUCAGCCACAUUGGGACUGAGACACGGCCCAAACUCCUACGGGAGGCAGCAGUGGGGAAUCUUGCGCAAUGGGCGAAAGCCUGACGCAGCCAUGCCGCGUGAAUGAUGAAGGUCUUAGGAUUGUAAAAUUCUUUCACCGGGGACGAUAAUGACGGUACCCGGAGAAGAAGCCCCGGCUAACUUCGUGCCAGCAGCCGCGGUAAUACGAAGGGGGCUAGCGUUGCUCGGAAUUACUGGGCGUAAAGGGAGCGUAGGCGGACAUUUAAGUCAGGGGUGAAAUCCCGGGGCUCAACCUCGGAAUUGCCUUUGAUACUGGGUGUCUUGAGUAUGAGAGAGGUAUGUGGAACUCCGAGUGUAGAGGUGAAAUUCGUAGAUAUUCGGAAGAACACCAGUGGCGAAGGCGACAUACUGGCUCAUUACUGACGCUGAGGCUCGAAAGCGUGGGGAGCAAA